UCAGCAAAUACGGGCAUCGGGCGAUUGC
rnacentral:piRNA from 1 species